GCAUGGUAGCCGAGUGGGUAAAGCGCUUACACCAAUUGGCAAUUGGCUUAUAACCGAAUAUCGAUGGUUCGAAUCCAUCCCGAAGCA